UACGGGGGGGGCAAGCGUUGUUCGGAAUUACUGGGCGUAAAGGGCUCGUAGGUGGCCAACUAAGUCAGACGUGAAAUCCCUCGGCUCAACUGAGGAACUGCACGGGAAACUGCCUGGCUUGAGUUCGGGAGAGGGAAGCGGAAUUCCGGGUGUAGCGGUGAAAUGCGUAGAUAUCCGGAGGAACACCGGUGGCGAAGGCGGCUUCCUGGACCGACACUGACGCUGAGGCGCGGAAAGCUAGGGGAGCAAACGGG
rnacentral:rRNA from 1 species